GACGAACGCUGGCGGCGUGCUUAACACAUGCAAGUCGAACGGAAAGGCCCUGCUUUUGUUGGGUGCUCGAGUGGCGAACGGGUGAGUAACACGUGAGUAACCUGCCCUUGACUUUGGGAUAACUUCAGGAAACUGGGGCUAAUACCGGAUAGGCGCUCCUGCUGCAUGGUGGGGGUGGGAAAGUUUCGGCGGUUGGGGAUGGACUCGCGGCGUAUCAGCUUGUUGGUGGGGUAGUGGCUUACCAAGGCUUUGACGGGUAGCCGGCCUGCGAGGGUGACCGGCCACAUUGGGACUGAGAUACGGCCCAGACUCCUACGGGAGGCAGCAGUGGGGAAUAUUGCAGAAUGGGCGGAAGACUGAUGCAGCAACGCCGCGUGCGGGAUGACGGCCUUCGGGUUGGAAACCGCUUUCGCCUGUGACGAAGCGUGAGUGACGGUAAUGGGUAAAGAAGCACCGGCUAACUACGUG
rnacentral:rRNA from 1 species